rnacentral:lncRNA from 1 species
AUAAUGAAUCGAUUCCAAACGGGGCUCUAACACCAGCUUAUACAUACACACAACACCAGAGCACAUAGAAACGAUCGAUCAUUUCAGUUUUUCUACGACAACACGAGUCGUCUCAUACGCAUGAUGUCUUUUUGGUGUAAGUGUAGCAUCAGGAUGGAUGGAGAACACUAGUAGGAGUCUGGAACCACACGGAUCCAUGCAGAUGGAUUGUGGAUAACAACGUUCUUGAGUAAGGUUGAAUCAUGGGAAGCGAGUACUGGUCUCACUACCGAAGCCUCCCUUCGAUAUUACCGUAUCUACCAGAUCGCCAGGACACCUUCCAUAACGAUGGCGACGACGAACGGCGUGUGGUAUCAGAAGCCACCGGUUUGAUCAGAGAAAAUCCUGAAGAUGUAUGUCCAAAUCAUGGCUGGAUCCUCCCUGACCACAGGAGAACGGAGUUUUACGUCCCUCCACCAUUUUCGUACGUUCCUCCUCGUCUUGCCCAGGAGCAACAUACCACGCAGGCAGACACAGUGACAGCUAAGCAAUCUCUGGAAGAAGAUGAUCUCCCGCAGUCAGGCAGUCCCAAAUCACUUCCAGAACAAUUGUGCUGUUCACAUAAAUCACGAAAGCAAUCGUUAAUACCUGUUCCUGUAAGAAAGUUUUCUUCGCCAUCGAGUUUACCUUCAGUUAAAACGGGACAACCUGUUUCUGAGAAUGGCUCACAGAAUCAAAGGCACACUGCUGACGGGAAACAAUUUAUCCCACAUCAAGUUUCUUCUGGGCUGACUUUUAUUCCUCUUGCUACUAAACGAAAAUAUUUGUCACCAGAACUGUCACGGAAACACUUUGUACCGCCACUUGCUGUUUCAAGGCGUACCUCGUCGCCCAUGGUAUUCCAAAGAAGUUCCUACAAGCCAAUCCGUACAGGAUUGGAUGUAUGGGCAACUCCUCGCUAUCCUUUGAAGAAGAGGAGGAGCCUUAAGAAUGAACCAAGGCCAAUUUGGCGAAUCUGAUUAUGUCAUACAUCUUCAGCUUUUAUUGACCAAUUUAGCACUCUAUGCAAUAGGCAGUUCUGUGAUCAUCAUUUUGUUUUUUGCAUGGAAUACUUUGUUAAACGGUGCUAUGUAACUGAAUUGAUGCAAAUGAUGCUGCUUCGAGCUCCUAAAGACAUCGUCUACGAUUUCAAAAUCCGUCCACACUUGGAGUCAACUGUUGUAAAGAAGAGGUGUAUGAUAUAGUUGAUUAUUUAUCAUUGCCAAGCGAAAGCAAGAUAAACCAAUUUAGGAUUCUUGGUUAGAAUAUGUUCAAGGCAACCAAAUAGCAUGCUGGUGGUAAGAUGAUCUGUGGCAAGGCUCGUGAUCUGGUUCAUUGCGUACUGAACGACCUGGAUUGAUGCUCACAAUGUUGACCUCUUCAAUGUUCUGGCCCAGAUGCGGUUAUUCAGAGGUCGAAUUUGUAAAUAUUGUACCAUCUGCUUCUACAAGAGAUUUCUUAUGAAUGUGGAAAGGGUUUUGUCGCUUCUAUUUAUGUCAUUAUUAUCUAAUUGAUGAUUGCAGAAAUACAUAUCUGGCACCAUUUAUGACUGUUUUUAUUGAUGUCAUUGUUAUUUGUACCUGCUGUUAGUAUGACUGUGUAAACUUUAAUAUAGAAAUAUGCAUUUGGCAUCAUCUAUUACAAUUAAACAUCGUUUGUGUGA